UACGGAGGGUGCUAGCGUUGUUCGGAAUCACUGGGCGUAAAGGGCGUGUAGGCGGCCUGUUAAGUCUGAUGUGAAAUCCCCUCGCUCAACGAGGGAACUGCGUCGGAUACUGACAGACUCGAGUACCGGAGAGGAAGGUGGAAUUCCCGGUGUAGCGGUGAAAUGCGUAGAUAUCAGGAGGAACACCGGUGGCGAAGGCGGGUCUCUGGGACGGUACUGACGCUGAGACGCGAAAGCGUGGGGAGCGAACAGG
rnacentral:rRNA from 1 species